ensembl:lncRNA
AUGUUGUGUUUGUUGACAUGUUUUCAGGUGGAAGCAGAAUUUGUGAGGAUUACUACUGCUCCACUUGUUCCAAGGCUUUUUGCACAACUUGACCAAUACACUGACCAGCUCAUAAAAGUCUUCAAGAAAAAAGGAGGUGCUGCAGUGAAGAAAAUUAGACAAACUUUGGCUCCAGCCACAAAGAAGGAAACUAUUGAAAACGGGAGGGAGUGUGUCCUCAGGGCACUACCUUUUUACCUGAAUGAAGACCCAAGCAUCCUCUUCAAAGAAUAAUUGGUUGGUAAUUUUAGUUUAGUUUUUUAUCUGUAUUAAACCAAAUUUUGAAUAACUAAUGUUGUUGCAUGUUGUAGUGUUGUUGUUGUUGUAAUUUGCAUGGAACCUGUUUAAAUGUUUUGGGGAAUCUUCUUGUAUACCCAAACUAUUUAUAUUUAUUGUUGAAUCUGUAGUCUAAAAUAGUAGCGCACUGGGGUGCAUGUUCCUAAUAUUGUGUUUACUUCAUUAAAGGGUAGCUUUGGCUCUUUUUUUUUUCUUUUCCUUUUUUAAAUUUAACUGGACGCCAUUUUUCUUUGUUUUUGUGUCUAAGCUACAGCUACAGCUGUUCAGAGGGAGCUGGAACAAAUUACCCUUGCUAUCUUCACCAUUGAAAAAGCUGAUGUCAGCACUCCUCCAGCCGAUGUGGGUAUAACUGAGGGGUCUGAAAAAUGCUUUUGCUAUGAUGUAAUCUGUAAUUUCCACAAAGUAUGCUGAUCAGAGUGAUUUUCAAUGAUUGAACUGUAGUAGAGACGAGCAAACAUAUUGGUAGAUCUGAGAAGAGAGAACUUUUGUUAUGAAAAUGAUUUUAAUCUUUUACACAUGAUUGCAUUUGAGCUUAUUAAAGAGCUGUGGCUCCUGGUCAAGUGAAGGUCAGAAACUCUUGGCAGGCGUUAAGGAUCAGCCAAUACACGGUGAGAAGAACAGGAGCUCUGAAAGGAAUUGCAACACACCUGCUUACAUGUCAGAUGCCUGGAGUUAUAUCCUUAUAUCCUUAUAUCCUUGAGAGCUAAGAGUUAAGUUUGUAUCAUUUAUCAUUUAUAUCCUUUUAAGUAAGUUUAAGUUUCAGUUAUGUUCAGUUUGAGUAAGUUUCCUUCAUGGUUCGAGUGUGACAUUUAGCCUAGAAAUUACACAGAGUUCAGCUGUGUAGGUGCACAGGCCUUAUGUCAGGUUAAGACGAGAGGUGUGAGGUUAGCAGAGGUGCAGACGGGGUCAUGACACAUACAUAGCCUACACAGCAGGCACCCACAUACACACACACUCACACACACACACACACACCAUAACAGAUCUAUUUUGGUAGGUAAGAAGUGAAGAUGUGUUUUUGCUGCAAUUGCAAAUUGUGCCGGCAGAUUGUCAGAUGCUUACAGGAAGUAUACCUGAUCUACGGGAAGAUAAGGAGGCGUACGCGGGGCGACACCGGGAGGGAGAUGAGACGUGAUGUUCUUUAAAAUAUGUUAAAGUUAGCAGGAACAUUUUGUGGUUUAAGUGAUGUAAGCUGUACUUUGUCUAUUUUUGCAAAAGAGGGGGCUUUGUUAUUGUACCCAUAUAAAACCUUUGUCUAAUCAUUGUGAGUUCAGUUCGAUUGCUGACUUUGCCCAGCUUCGGACUCCACGCGUGUUAUCAAUAAAUCUUUGCUUUGACCACAUCUUCCGGACCAGAGUUGUUAUUUGCUUGUGAGCCCUCCGUACUCCUUUUCUCCAACUUUUGAACCUUAACAUAACCAUCUAGGGUGUUCUGCAUGACCUGGAAAACAUGGCCUCUGCAUGUGCACUCUUAAUGGGUGGGAUAUAUGCACUGAAUCUCAGUUAACCUCGAGACUGAAAGCUUUCUUUGAAGUACUUCAGAAGCUCUUCCUUCAUCUGUAUGUCAGCAGACUCUUGACCAAGGUACAGAUACUCAAGAAUAAACUGAACGAAUAAGCCAAUCCUUAAUUUGGAUGAUGAAUGUUCUGUCAGAUGGACAGAAGUUUUUCAGAGGCUGAAUGGGAAUAAAACGGUAAUUUGUUGAAAAUGACAGAUAAAGGGAAAAUUACAUUUAAGAGAAAUUUUGAAAAGUUUGUAAACUACUACAAUUUGAGAGAUUUUACUCUUGUGGGGGGAGGGGGGGCUAGUAAGAGACAAUCAAAAGUGUUGAGAUUUAAAGGAUUUAAUUGAGAGAUGAUACUGCACCAGAAAUGUUGAAGGGUGGUGUGUAUAUUAGCGUUCAAGGUAUAUUGUUAUGAGGUGGAAAUAUGUUCAUAUUCUGUUUGUGUUACAUUGUGUGCAUUGUAAAGGUAAUUGCAAUACAUACUAAGAAUAAGGGUAAGUUAGGAAUGCAGGAUGAAUGUAUAUUUUGCGGACUUUUAAAGACGAACAAUUGUUUCCAUGUUAAAAUGUUUACAACCCAAGUUUUUUGCCCAAACACUGGUAAAAUAAACGUUGAGGGUGGCAAGUGUUAAAUGGUUACUGUUGUGCUGUUGCAAAAAAACUGAACGCUGACAAGCUGUUUUAUUGUUAGACCAUAAUGCUGGCAUGCUUUAUUUAAGUUUUAUUUGGGAUGGUGAUAUAAUUUUCUUUGAUUGCUAAUAUCAGUGGACUAUUUAUUAUUAUUAUUAUUAUUAUUAUUAUAAUUAUUACAACAUUACUUUUUUUUAAUUGUGGCUGUUGAGGUGGACACUUCACUUUGCAUUGUUAAAGGAAAACACUUCAUUGGCGUUGUGUUACUGGACUGACCCUAAGCAAUCAUUGCAAAUACCAACUUUGCUAUCCAUUUUAGACACUAAAAGAAAAAGCACUCCACAGACCUUAUUAGCAUCAUACGUAACUCAAGUGUCAUCUUAUCAACAUGUUAUUUGGUCUUCAAUGUUUUUUUCUUCUAUUUCUGGCAGAUACAGACAUUUAAUUUAAAGUCUUGAUGUUGCAUCUGUCUACAUACUGUUAGUUACUAACCCUAAUGACCUGUUGUGUUUUAUUUUGGACUGGGUUUACACAAAUGCUCACUGAAUGUGUUGGCAAUAAAAGAAAUUUAAAAAAAUAAGUUGGAUGUACUUAAUUCAUUUGUGUGGAACCUGUUGACAAAAUAGAUUUAUGUAAAACUAAUUAGUAAAGCACAAGGUGGCUGAAAAUAUAAUAUUUGAAUUAAUCUAACUUAAAUUUAACAUUUUACUGCCACAAAUAAGAAAUGUGUUGAAGUAACUAAUCUAAACUAUCUAACCUGUAAAUAUAUCAUUUAUGUUCAUACAACAUAAUUUGAUUUAGGUAGUCUUAAAUAUCUCUUGUUAAUCUUAAGUAGUUUUUUAAAAUUAGAUGAACUAAAGAAUUUCGUGGAACCUGUUGACAAAAUAAAUUUAAUUAAAGUCAACGUUUCAUUUUUUUGAGUGUGCUGGAACUGAUGAACAAAUUUAGUCGCUUCAUUGACAAAUCCAGGGUUUGGUUUAAUGGGGCGGAAGAUCACAAUAAAGCAAGAAUGAAGGACAAUGAAAAGAAACUGGAAGAACUAAAGAACAUCAUCAAAUUUCUAGAGGAGAAACGAGAUGAACUCUAACGGUUUCUAUUUAAUAUCUUCAAAAUAAAUACAUGUUGUUUAGAUAUACGAUGUUUUCAUGAAAGAGGUGGACAUCAUUUAUUGCCUGAACUGUGAUUCAUUUUCAUUCAUUUAUACACUUUAAAUAAAAUCUGAAAUAUGAUGGAUGUAUUACCUGUGGAAAAAUUGAUUCUAGGCCAACUCCUUUUUACUUCAUUUUAACAAUUUAUAUUGAUAGCACUGUGUUUUUUGUUAACUAAUUCUUAUUUACAAUUAUAUAUAAGUGACACAAUAUAUAAUAAUACUUCAUUCCUGAUUCUCUUCAACUUAACAUGUAAAACCUGCAGCAUUACUUUGAUUUGGUCCAAGCUGUGCUUAAUGACCAAAACUGGCACUGAAUUCAGGUCAGACUUAUUAAAGUUUACAUUAUUCUCCUGUCACUG